rnacentral:lncRNA from 1 species
CAACGCACUCAGCAUACUUGAAUACUUCGUGUCUGUUACUUGUGUUGAAAUGCAAUUGAACCUUCAAAACCAUUAGAGUUUUGUGCUGGUUUAGUUGUUUUAACCUUUAGGUUUGUGAUUGACGGUUACAGGGUAGUUUCUUUUAUGCUUAAUUGAAUAUUUCGUUUAAACAGUGGAGGGGGAUGCCUGGAACUUAACUGCUAAUGUGUGUCCAUUUUCAAAAGGGAGAAGUAGUAUCUAAUGAGUUAAUCAUUAAGGAGUAUGCACAGGGCCGGCCAUUUCAGGACAUGCAAGAGUUUCUGUGGAGCUGCUCCAGACAGGAAGGAGUGACUUGACAUCAAGCAUUUAAACUUUUUGAUUUAUGUUUCGAUUGGUGACAUUGAAAGGUAUAAAUUAUUUACAAAUAAGUUUGAGUAACCAGUUUCAUCUGUAAACAACCAGAUAUUUCAUCUAGGGACAGUUGUCUCUCAUUCUUUGAUAACUUUAAAAAGAACUCAAAGCAGGGCGUUUGCUGUAGGAAUGAAGGACUGACAGUUAAAGAGACGACGGGUCUCUAUUUCCCGGCUAUCUCCUAUGUUAGAAUCAGCUAAAGCUGCCAGGGACGUGCUGGUGAUCUCCUUUAAGUCAAUAAAUGAAAAGUUUUGUGGGGCUUUUUUAAUGGGGACAUUGAGUGAGACUUAUGAUUUAUAAUAUGCAGCAGGAAGAAGUUUCACUAAGAUUUUGAAGCUGGCAAGUGAUCCAGAUGUUGCCAAACUGCCUCAAUUUAUUUUUAUCUUAUUCUUACUUUAAGAGGUAAGAUUCUUUCCCACCCUAAUUCCUAUCUCCCACCCCUCUGCUUUUCACCACUACACUUUUGCAAGAGUCAUCCUUUGGGGAAAAAAAAUUGAGAGCCACACCCUUCGCUCCACCUGCCGACCCUGGAAAUCAAACGAAGUUCUACAAAGGACGUCCAUCUGGAAGGAGACGUCUCAGUUAUCCGUUUUACUUUAUUCCCCGCCAUUGGGCGGGGCAGGACUGGGCUUCCUUCCAGUCACCACGUCUUUCUCCACCUGCAGGUACUCCAGAGCGAUCCCCCUUCGUUGACUCCGAGGGGAUGCAGCAGCAAUUCAUGUUUUGAAGUGAUUUAAACGGUUCAAAACGUGAGGCGCUGCUAUACCCCCUCGCGGGGAAGUUGGAAGGUGGGGUUCUGCUGGACGUGUGCUCCUGCGAGGCGCCCGCUCCCAAGGCCAGCUCAGGAGCAGGUAAAGGACCCUUGGCAAAGACAAAGGGAGGAGGCCCGGUGGCACCCGGCGCCCAGCCCUCCGGGAGGACCACGCUCGCGCCAUCCGUCGCCCGCAGGACACAGGUGAGAGCCCCGCCGGUCGGGGCCGCGAGGGGCGGAGGGCGGGGAGCGAGUGAUCCCGACUGGAGGGCAUUGCCUUCCCCAAGCGAAAGGGCCCUUUCCCCGGCCCCCAGGAGGCAUCGAGAUUGGGGGCGUCCCCACAGCCCCACAGCCCUCGGACGCGUGGUGCCCUUUUCUGACUUAAAACAUUCGUCUUGCACCAGUAUUCACACGAUCGAAGUUUCAGUGUGCCUAGCUUUUCCUCCAAGGACAAAAAUGUGAAUAAAGCAAUAUUUUAGCCAAACAUUUCUGUGUCAAUUAAGAAGAUGGCAAUUCGUUCCAGACUAUAAAUUCUCUUUAACAACUCUCUAAGGAAUUCUUUAAAAUUGUUUUUCAACGUUGCUAAAUGUGCAUCAUAAUGUGUGGGAGACUUUGUAAAGCGAAUCCAUUUAGAGUCAGCUGAUUAACUGCCCCAGUGUUACCACCUUCCAGGAGGCACCUUCCCAUUGUUUGCUCCUUUUUUCCCAGCACACGUUAUUUGUUAGUGAGGAAGCUGCGUGCACAAGGCAUUGUAUUCAGUUUAUUACACAGACGUGGCCCUUAAACUACGAAAAGCUUCGUCUACCUCUAAAUUUACAUUCGACAUUUCUAUAAGUUGUGGGACAAGGUAUACAGGUUGCUUUCAUAAACUAGAAUUGAACAUAAUUUUUUAAAAAAUUUUAAUCACAGGAAUAUUUUUUGAAGGCCUCUAGCAUCUCCAGUUAGCAGUACUGACAUUUUUUUCCAACAAAGGAACACUAUAUCAACACUCUUGGCCCGGAUCUGAACACAGAAGACUCCUGUUUCAAGAAAAUACAAUCAUCUCUCAAAGUCUGCAUUUUUAACUCACUAGGUAUUGAAAACCACCCAAGUGUCCCACAACAUGGGGUAAAACAGAAUCAAUCACUCAGUGUAAUAUUAUACAUCCUUUAAAAAUGUUAUUGGGGAAUGUUUUAUGAUCUGUAAGUCGAAAUAACCCUCUCCGGGCAUUUCUUUCUCCCUGCUGCUCCCCCAUACCCGCGCUUCUUUGUUCCAAUUGGCAUAUAAAGCUGUUUUUCCCUCCAAACAAGUCAGUCACGAUGGGAACGUCAAUUGAUUUGAACAGAUGUGUGUCAAUGUUACUUGGAAAACUAGAUGCCAGUAACCAGGGCCACAAAGAAAGGCAGUGGUUGCAACACUAUAAAAACGUAUGCGUGCAUACAGACAAGGACUAAAGUGGAACCCCAAGCAGGAAAAGAGUUGAAUACACUCCAGUGCUGGGAGACUGAAUGAUUGUAUGCUGCUUUUGAUUUCCAUUAAUACGGGCAACUGUCCAAUUAAAAAGACCUAAUAAGGACUCUGCAGUGCAAAUUAUUUUGCUGAUUGUUUUAAAACACCAUACCUAUCAAAGCAUCGAGGCCGACGGGGCAGCAGGGGACUGGGUUUGUUCCCCCAUCCAGCACUCUAGAGCUCAGGGCAACACUGGGAGAAAAAGUGAUCCUACACAGGUGGGAGUUCACUUCUAGGCAGGUUUCCUGAGAGACGGUGCAAGAUGAAAAUAAAAAUAGGUUCAAGAAGC